CCUGCCGCCGCCACCGCCUCAGGGAAGAGGAAGGAGGCCGCGGCUUCGCGUCCCGCCUCUCGCCUGGCUGGCCGUGGGGGGCCUGGACGCAGUGGCCUCCCGAAUCUCCCAGGACCCUAAUAUCGCCCGAGGAUGCUGGGAGGAACGCUGAGCCGACCUCUCCGUUAGGCUGAAGAUUGCACAAACCAUGCUAAUGGCCAGCAUGGAUGGAGGGAGCGUGUGAGAUGUGUGGGGCAGCGUGCUGCAUCUCAGCCAACUCCAGGAGCCAGUUGAUGUGAUGGACUACCUUAAUUGAUUUUUGAAUGUUGAGCCAGCCUUAUGCAUGUGGGAUAAACCCCUGUUGAUCAUGGCUGGCUGGAGUGCAGUGGUGCAAUCAUGGCUCACUGCAACCUCAAAUUCCUGGGCUCAAGGGAUCCUCCUGCCUCAGCCUCCCAAGUAGCUAGGACUACAGGAAGCAUGCUCAUGGCAAUACCCGGAGUCUCCACUGCAAGACCAGAGUGACGGAGGCAGCAGAGCUCCUCAGCAGGCCAGGAGUCUCCAGAGGCACUGCCGAAUGUCUAAGAAGCAACCUCAUUGUAUUCCCAAGACCUGGGAAUCCAGGUCUCGCAGAUACGAUGAUACAAUCUAUAGCCAGGACAUCUCUUCAUGUGUAGUUUUCAAUGAAUACUAGGAUAAGCAACUAUCCCAGUCUUCCCAGGAUUGAGGGGCUUCUCCAGAUGCUGCACUUCUGGUGCUAAAAAUGAGAAACUGAAAUGAAUUAGUCACCCAAGGAAUGCUGACCCUGUGCUAUAUGAUCACAUUUACUCUUUAAAGCAAUGCUUUGAGAACAAUUGAGCUGCAUAGUCCCUGCAAUCUUAUAAAGGCAUUUGGCCUGGAAGAUGCUCUGCAGCCAUGUGCCAAGAAUAACGGCUAUAGGGACAAUGUUUCAUUAACCCCAAAGCAGCAACCUGAACCUCUUACUGUACAAUAUCUGCUCCGUUCAGAAUUAGCUCGACUUGAGUCACAGGAUGAAGCUUACCAAAAGGAAUUUCCACGUCCAAGGAAGGAACCAAGAUCACUGAGAGGUUAUAGUAUGAAAAGUGAAGAGAAAAAACCUAUUCUAAACAUUUUAUUAAUUGUCAAUAAUUAUUUUAAAAUAUUUAAUAUAGUCUCCUACCUGGUCCACUGGCAUCAAGCUGCCAAAUUUACACGGUCACUUUGGGAAGCCAGCUGGCAGGCAAACAUGGAAAGUGCUGGCUCCUAGCGUAGUGAGAAGACCACAGAUAGAUGGUAAUUUUCUUCUUUGUUUUAUUUUUCUUUUUCUUCUCUCCCUCUUUUUCUUCCCUCUUGCCUUUCCCUCCCAUUGCCCACUUUCUUUUUUUGGCUGCCGAAGAUUUAUUGCCUUUCAGUACUUAUAGAUGAUGUUUUCAUAAGUUCUAAUGAGGUCCCAGCAGUUUUUAACAAUAACAGGACAUUACUGUUCCUAAGAUAUAUUAUGUGUUUUCCCUCAUCUUUCUCCCUUGAAUGAAAUGCUUAGAAGUAGGCUAACCCCCAAUUCCCUUCCCUUUACUAUGAUAAAUGGCUCCAUUACUUAAUAGGGCUAAAUACUCUGCUGUGACUUUUAUACUGCUGAUUUGAAUAAAAUCUUACGAAAAGCUUUUCUCGUGU
rnacentral:lncRNA from 10 species